rnacentral:rRNA from 1 species
AGUCUACCAGUUAGGAACGAAACCCCAUCGGGCUGUAGAAAGCCAUAAACUACAAUAAACCCCAACCUAACAAUAACAACUUCCACUCGUGAAAGCUGGGACACAAACUAAGAUUAGAUACCUUACUAUGCCCAGCCAUAACACAACAAUAAGCCACCCAUUGUUCGCCAAACAACUACGAGUGAAAACUUAAAACUUAAAAGACUUGACGGUACCCCACAACAGCCUAGAGGAGCCUGUUCAAUAACCGAUACCCCACGAUUAACCCAACCCCCUCUCGCCCACCAGCCUAUAUACCGCCGUCGCCAGCCUACCUUAUGAAAGAAACAAAGUAAGCCAAAUAGUCCAACACUAGCACGACAGGUCGAGGUGUAGCUCAUGGGGGGGACUAGAAUGGGCUACAUUAUCUACAAAGAUAUGCGAAUAAACUCUGAAACAAGAAACUGAAGGAGGAUUUAGCAGUACACUAAGAACAACAAUACCUAGUCGAAACUCAAUGCAAUGGGGUGCGUACACACCGCCCGUCAUCCCUGUCAACCAACCCAAACAUCCAUAAUAAUAAUAACCACUUUAAGCAGGGCAAGUCGUAACAUG